rnacentral:misc_RNA from 1 species
GAUGAAGAACGUAGUGAAAUGCGAUAAGUAAUGUGAAUUGCAGAAUUCAGUGAAUCAUCGAAUCUUUGAACGCACAUUGCGCCCCGUGGUAUUCCGCGGGGCAUGCCUGUUCGAGCGUCAUUUCACCACUCAAGCCUCGCUUGGUAUUGGGCGACGCGGUCCGCCGCGCGCCUCAAAUCGACCGGCUGGGUCGAUCGCACCCUCAGCGUUGUGGAAACUAUUCGCUAAAGGAGUUGUGGUCGGUCACGCCGUGAAACAAACCAAUCUUUCAAUGGUUGACCUCGGAUCAGGUAGGGAUACCCGCUGAACUUAAGCAUAUCAAUAAGCGGAGGA